rnacentral:rRNA from 1 species
AUAUCAAUAAGCGGGGGAAAAGAAACCAACAGGGAUUCCUCAGUAACGGCGAGUGAAGCGGCAACAGCUCAAAUUUGAAAUCUGGCUCUUUAGAGCCCGAGUUGUAAUUUGUAGGGGAUGCUUCGGGGCAGCGGCCGGUCUAAGUUCCUUGGAACAGGACGUCAUAGAGGGUGAGAAUCCCGUAUGCGACCGGUUGGCACCCCACACGUAGCUCCUUCGACGAGUCGAGUUGUUUGGGAAUGCAGCUCAAAAUGGGUGGUAAAUUCCAUCUAAAGCCAAAUAUUGGCCAGAGACCGAUAGCGCACAAGUA